UACAGAGGAGCCAAGCGUUGUCCGGAUUGACUGGGCGUAAAGCGCACGCAGGCGGAUGCGCGCGUGGGGUGUGAAAUCUGGCCGCUUAACGGCCAGGCGCCAUCCCAUACGGCGCGUCUGAAGUGAUGCAGAGGUCGAUGGAAUUGCCGGUGUAGUGGUGAAAUGCGUAGAGAUCGGCAGGAACACCCAGGGGGAAACCAGUCGACUGGGCAUCUACUGACGCUGAGGUGCGAGAGCGUGGGGA
rnacentral:rRNA from 1 species